rnacentral:rRNA from 1 species
GGCUUAGAAGCAGCCAUGCAUUCAAAGAGUGCGUAACAGCUCACUGGUCGAGUGGACAUGCGCCGACAAUACACGGGGCUAAGCAUGGCGCCGAAGCGGCGGACUAAAUCAUUUAGUGGUAGGGGAGCUUCCCCGGGGGGGAGAAGCCGGAGGGCGACCUCCGGUGGACCGCCGGGGAGUGAGAAUGCUGGCACGAGUAGCGAGAGCGGGGCGAGAAACCCCGCCGCCGCAAGCCCAAGGUUUCCUGGGCGAUGCUAAUCAUCCCAGGGUCAGCCGGGAGCUAAGGCGAGGCCGAGAGGCGCAGCCGAUGCGCAGCUGGCAGACAUUCCAGCGCCGCUCCCGCGCCGCUACGACCGAAGGGGCGACGGAGAAGGGCAGCCGGGCGGGGUUCUGGACGUCCCCGUGAAAGCGCGUAGGGGGGUGCGCAUGGAAAUCAGCGCACCGUAUGCCCCGAGACGCGAGACGAAGCCUCCAUGGCGAAGCCGGUCAUCCCAUGCUCCCGAGAAAAACCCCUAGGCAGGCGCGGGCGCGCCCGUACCAAGACCGACACAGGUGGGCGGGUAGAACAUACCGAGGCGAUCGGGAGAACCAUGGUCAAGGAACUCGGCACACUGGCCCCGUAACCUAGGGAGAAGGGGCGCCCCCCGGCGUGAAGGAGCUGUGCCUCCGGAGCGCGGGGGGGCCGCAGCGAAACGGCCCAAGCGACUGUUUACCAAAAACACAGGACUCUGCCAAGCCGCGAGGCGAAGUAUAGGGUCUGACGCCUGCCCGGUGCCGGAAGGUUACGCGGAUGCGUUAGCAGCGAUGCGAGGCGCUGAAGCCAAGCCCCGGUAAACGGCGGCCGUAACUAUAACGGUCCUAAGGUAGCGAAAUUCCUUGUCGGGUAAGUUCCGACCUGCACGAACGGCGUAACGACUUGGGCGCUGUCUCGACCAUGGACCCGGCGAAACUGCACUGUUCGUGAAGAUGCGAGCUACCUGCGGAAGGACGGAAAGACCCCGUGAACCUUCACUGCAGCCUGGCAUUGGCCGUUGGUACGGCGUGUAGAGGAUAGGCGGGAGGCUUCGAACCCCGGGCGCCAGCCCGGGGGGAGCCGCCCUUGGAAUACCGCCCUCGCCGUGCCGGCGGCCUAACCCGCGGCCCGAGACCGGGCGCGGGGACCGUGCCAGGCGGGUAGUUUGACUGGGGCGGUCGCCUCCCAAAUCGUAACGGAGGCGCGCAAAGGUCCGCUCAGGACGGUCGGCAACCGUCCCGGGAGCGCAAGAGUGCAAGCGGGCUCGACUGCGAGGCGUACAGGCCGAGCAGGGACGAAAGUCGGCUCUAGUGAUCCGGCGGCUCAGAGUGGAAUGGCCGUCGCUCAACGGAUAAAAGGUACUCCGGGGAUAACAGGCUGAUCUUGCCCAAGAGUCCACAUCGACGGCAAGGUUUGGCACCUCGAUGUCGGCUCAUCGCAUCCUGGGGCUGUAGCAGGUCCCAAGGGUUGGGCUGUUCGCCCAUUAAAGCGGUACGCGAGCUGGGUUCAGAACGUCGUGAGACAGUUCGGUCCCUAUCCUCCGUGGGCGCAAGAGAAUUGAGAGGAUCUGUCCCUAGUACGAGAGGACCGGGAUGGACGCACCUCUGGUGCCGCAGUUGUCGACCAACGGCACAGCUGCCUAGCUACGUGCGGAACGGAUAACCGCUGAAAGCAUCUAAGCGGGAAGCCGGCCUCGAGAUGAGUUCUCUCUUCGGUAAGGCCACUUGUAGACCACAAGUUCGAUAGGCCGCAGCUGCAAGCCCCGCGAGGGGCUCAGGCGAGCGGUACUAAUCGGCCGAGCUCUUCAUCUC